rnacentral:tRNA from 1 species
CAGGGAGACAACAAAAUGUUUAAUAUUAUUAUUUUGUCACCUUAGGUCGAUCGGUAUCUCACGUUCUUAAUUUAUUAAGAAUUUCAUUUCCUAAGUUUUUUCUAGGUCACACCCAUUUUUUUCCUGGGCCAUUAGCUCAGGUGGUUAGAGCGCACCCCUGAUAAGGGUGAGGUCCCUGGUUCAAGUCCAGGAUGGCCCAUAUCUCUAUGUUGGGGGUAUAGCUCAGUUGGUAGAGCGCCUGCUUUGCAAGCAGGAUGUCAGCGGUUCGAGUCCGCUUACCUCCACUGAUUACCACCUCUUACAUAAUCUGUAGAAAGGAAAUGUUUUGAGUUGUGAUCAAAUUCUGAACGAAUCUAGCUUCCUAAUGAAAUCAUUAAGAUGCUGGACUCAGUGAAUUAAUUUCAUUGUUUUCAGAGAACCUUGACAACUGCAUAGAUUAUUUUUGAAAAGACAAUAAGCAUCUUUAAUGAUGCAGAUUUAUUAUUUGUGCAAAUGCAUUAAUAACAAUUCUAUUAAGCUGAUGCUUCAUUUUUGAAGUUAUU